GAUGAACGCUGGCGGCGUGCCUAAUACAUGCAAGUCGAGCGAACAGACGAGGAGCUUGCUCCUUUGACGUUAGCGGCGGACGGGUGAGUAACACGUGGAUAACCUACCUAUAAGACUGGGAUAACUUCGGGAAACCGGAGCUAAUACCGGAUAACAUGUUGAACCGCAUGGUUCAACAGUGAAAGACGGUUUUGCUGUCACUUAUAGAUGGAUCCGCGCCGCAUUAGCUAGUUGGUAAGGUAACGGCUUACCAAGGCAACGAUGCGUAGCCGACCUGAGAGGGUGAUCGGCCACACUAGAACUGAGACACGGUCCAGACUCCUACGAGAGGCAGCAGUAGGGAAUCUUACGCAAUGGGCGAAAGCCUGACGGAACAACGCCGCGUGAGUGAAAAAGGUCUUCGGAUCGUAAAACUCUGUUAUUAGGGAAGAACAAAUGUGUAAGUAACUAUGCACGUCUUGACGGUACCCAAUCAGAAAGCCACGGCUAACUACGUG
rnacentral:rRNA from 1 species